rnacentral:rRNA from 1 species
UAAAGGCAUGGUCCCGACCUUUUUAUCAGCUCUUACCCAACUUACACAUGCAAGUCUCCGCAGUCCCGUGAGUAUGCCCUCAAUCCCCUGCCCGGGGACGAGGAGCGGGCAUCAGGCGCAAAAUUUAGCCCAAGACGCCCGGCCAAGCCACACCCCCAAGGGAAUUCAGCAGUGAUGGACAUUAAGCCAUAAGUGAAAACUUGACUCAGUCAGGGUUAAGAGGGCCGGUAAAACUCGUGCCAGCCACCGCGGUUAAACGGGAGGCCCUAGUUGAUAACACCACGGCGUAAAGGGUGGUUAAGGAGAGAAAAUAAUAAAGCCAAAUGGCCCUUUGGCCGUCAUACGCUUCUAGGUGUCCGAAGCCCAAUACACGAAAGUAGCU